CCUACGGGAGGCUGCAGUGGGGAUUAUUGGACAAUGGGGGCAACCCUGAUCCAGCCAUGCCGCGUGUGUGAAGAAGGCCCUCGGGUUGUAAAGCACUUUCAGUGAGGAAGAACGCCUGGUGGUUAAUACCCAUCAGGAAAGACAUCACUCACAGAAGAAGCACCGGCUAACUCCGUGCCAGCAGCCGCGGUAAUACGGAGGGUGCGAGCGUUAAUCGGAAUUACUGGGCGUAAAGCGCGCGUAGGUGGCUUGAUAAGCCGGUUGUGAAAGCCCCGGGCUCAACCUGGGAACGGCAUCCGGAACUGUCAAGCUAGAGUGCAGGAGAGGAAGGUAGAAUUCCCGGUGUAGCGGUGAAAUGCGUAGAGAUCGGGAGGAAUACCAGUGGCGAAGGCGGCCUUCUGGACUGACACUGACACUGAGGUGCGAAAGCGUGGGUAGCAAACAGGAUUAGAUACCCUAGUAGUC
rnacentral:rRNA from 1 species